rnacentral:rRNA from 1 species
GCGAUAAGCGCCGGUAAGGUGAUAUGAACCGUUAUAACCGGCGAUUUCCGAAUGGGGAAACCCAGUGUGAUUCGUCACACUAUCAUUAACUGAAUCCAUAGGUUAAUGAGGCGAACCGGGGGAACUGAAACAUCUAAGUACCCCGAGGAAAAGAAAUCAACCGAGAUUCCCCCAGUAGCGGCGAGCGAACGGGGAGGAGCCCAGAGCCUGAAUCAGCAUGUGUGUUAGUGGAAGCGUCUGGAAAGGCGCGCGAUACAGGGUGACAGCCCCGUACACAAAAGCGCAUGUGCUGUGAGCUCGAUGAGUAGGGCGGGACACGUGGUAUCCUGUCUGAAUAUGGGGGGACCAUCCUCCAAGGCUAAAUACUCCUGACUGACCGAUAGUGAACCAGUACCGUGAGGGAAAGGCGAAAAGAACCCCGGCGAGGGGAGUGAAAAAGAACCUGAAACCGUGUACGUACAAGCAGUGGGAGC